rnacentral:misc_RNA from 1 species
GAAAUGCGAUAAGUAAUGUGAAUUGCAGAAUUCAGUGAAUCAUCGAAUCUUGGAACGCACCUUGCGCUCCUUGGUAUUCCUUGGAGCAUGCCUGUUUGAGUAUCAUGAAAUCUUCAAAGUAAAUCUUUUGUUAACUCAAUUGGUUUCUACUUUGGUAUUGGAGGUCUUUGCAGCUUCACACCUGCUCCUCUUUGUUCAUUAGCUGGAUCUCAGUGUUAUGCUUGGUUCCACUCGGCGUGAUAAGUUAUCUAUCGCUGAGGACACUGUAAAAGGUGGCCAAGGUAAAUGCAGAUGAACCGCUUCUAAUAGUCCAUUGACUUGGACAAUACUUUUAUGAUCUGAUCUCAAAUCAGGUAGGACUACCCGCUGAACUUAAGC